GGGGUCGACUAAGCAUGCGAGUCAUGGGGCGCCUUGCGCGCACCGGCGGACGGCUCAGUAACACGUCGGUAACCUACCCUCGGGAGGGGGAUAACCCCGGGAAACUGGGGCUAAUCCCCCAUAGGCCUGAGGUACUGGAAGGUCCUCAGGCCGAAAGGGGCUCUGCCCGCCCGAGGAUGGGCCGGCGGCCGAUUAGGUAGUUGGUGGGGUAACGGCCCACCAAGCCGAAGAUCGGUACGGGCCAUGAGAGUGGGAGCCCGGAGAUGGACACUGAGACACGGGUCCAGGCCCUACGGGGCGCAGCAGGCGCGAAACCUCCGCAAUGCGGGCAACCGCGACGGGGGGACCCCCAGUGCCGUGGCAUCGCCACGGCUUUUCCGGAGUGUAAAGAGCUCCGGGAAUAAGGGCUGGGCAAGGCCGGUGGCAGCCGCCGCGGUAAUACCGGCGGCCCGAGUGGUGGCCGCUAUUAUUGGGCCUAAAGCGUCCGUAGCCGGGCCCGUAAGUCCCUGGCGAAAUCCCACGGCUCAACCGUGGGGCUUGCUGGGGAUACUGCGGGCCUUGGGACCGGGAGAGGCCGGGGGUANCCCCUGGGGUAGGGGUGAAAUCCUAUAAUCCCAGGGGGACCGCCAGUGGCGAAGGCGCCCGGCUGGAACGGGUCCGACGGUGAGGGACGAAGGCCAGGGGAGCGAACCGGAUUAGAUACCCGGGUAGUCCUGGCUGUAAAGGAUGCGGGCUAGGUGUCGGGCGAGCUUCGGGCUCGCCCGGUGCCGAAGGGAAGCCGUUAAGCCCGCCGCCUGGGGAGUACGGCCGCAAGGCUGAAAC
rnacentral:rRNA from 1 species